GUAAGCAGAGCCUGUUAUAUCUAAAUCUGCAUAUUGGCUAUGAACUAAAUUUUGAACCUGUGGAAAACGUAUUGGGAGACUGGUUUAAAUUCAGGGGGUCAGGGGAACGGUCUGUGAGUUAGAGUCUCACUAUAAGUCGGGUUAGAGGCCCGUUACCGGUGUGUGAGUUAGAGUCUCACUGUAAGUCGGGUUAGAGGCCCGCUACCGGUGUGUGAGUUAGAGUCUCACUGUAAGUCGGGUUAGAGGCCCGUUAAUCGUUCUAGGGUUGACUACCCUACGCCACUUCCCGACGGGGACGGUGGAGAGUUGCGAGUUAGAGUCUCGGCAACCAGUCGGGUUAGAGGCCCGAGGACUUAGGGGCACCUCGAAGUACUUAUUGUGUGUAAAGGUUCAUCUGGGUUAGAGUCCCGGGGAGUUUUAGAACUCCCCAAAUUCUGUAUCUGGGUUAGAGUCCCGGGGAGUUUUGGAACUCCCCAAAUUCUGUAUCUGGGUUAGAGUCCCGGGGAGUUUUAGAACUCCCCAAAUUCUGUAUCUGGGUUAGAGUCCCGGGGAGUUUUAGAACUCCCCAAAUUCUGUAUCUGGGUUAGAGUCCCGGGGAGUUUUGGAACUCCCCAAAUUCUUUAUAAGAAAACUGGGUUUGAGUCCCAAAAGUGUUGGGUCAGGUACCCGUUAAUCAUUUGUUAAUUAUUCUGAGUCUGGGACUCACAGUAACGUAAGUCAGGUUGAAAUGGACGGGGAGUGUGAGAGAGAAGUUGAUGAUGAUGGGCGGUGUCCAGGCACGGGAAAGUGGAAACAAUUGGGGAUACAGGUGGCAAAUGUAAUGACUGUUGUAGGCAGGAUGGACCCAAUUCAGAAAGAAAAAGAAGGGAUAGAAGAGAAAUUGCGACAAGUGGUGAGUGAGGCAGGAUUAAGGAUGGAGGAAAGGAGACCAUUACAUGUUAUUUUGUGGAAUAAGGAGAAGGAGUGUUCCAAAAAUCGAGAUAGAGUUAGAGACAAGAAGGAAACAGCCAAUUUGGUCAAGAGAGGGAGAUAUAGAGAAAAGGAGAAGGAAGGGGAAAAGCACAGAAAAGAAUGGUGUAAAUUAGCAGUGUGGUGUCAGGGCGUAGACCAUUUGAACAAAGAGAAAAAGGGACAGAAAAUUAAGGAGAAAAAGGGAGGAGAGAUAGAACCCCUAGCAUAUGAAGAUGACCUGGUGGUGCAUGGUACCGUGUACCAUUAUAUCCAGCGUUAUGUUUAGAGAGUGGGAUAUUGUCUUUAGACACACAGAACAGCAAGCCCAUAACUCAAUUCACAGGAAAGCAAGAUAAGAGAAAAUUAAGUAGGAAGGCGGAGUCAGAGAGCGAGACAGACACUGAGGGGGAGGUGAAACCGUUCAAGGCAAGGGUAGAGAAAGAGGAGCGAGAAGGGGAGACGACUAGGAAAGAAUAAACAAGAGGAGAUUACUGGGGCCAUAAAGAAAAGAUCAGGCCGUACUAAAGGCAGGUUAGGUGAGGACUCAAGAUCAGGGUCGGACGAUAGUGACACAGUGAGAAGGACCAGAACUAGGCAGAAAAAAGGGAAUUCACAUAGAGGACGGGUGGUACUCACGGGCAAUGCAGUAGGGAGAUGGACUGACUCAGACAAAGACCCCGACACAGACAGUAGUGGAGACGGGAGUGAGGGAGACGUGGACGUAUACCCUCUGCCGCGUACGCCCCCACCAGAACAUAAACUACACCAUGACACAGUAGAAUCACUUCAAAAGACUCAAAAUAAAAUGUAUACGCGGUCACAAGCAGGGGAAGCUGGUUGUGCUGGGUUUCAGCUGCCUCUCUUUAGAGUGGGAGGCGGAGAACCGCGAUAUAAACCAUUGGAGCUGGGACACGUACAGGCACUGGUAGAUAAAUUACCCCCGAUGGGAGAGGGAGGUGGACUAUGGUUGUCACAAUUUGAUAAACUCACAGCUGGUCAAAUGUUGGCACUGGGGGACUGGAGGGCAGUAGUCGCCCGAGCCAUGUCCGCCCAGGCUAUGACUGAGAUAGAAAAAGGGGCCGCCACUAGGCGGAGCCCUGACGACACUCCUUUCAGUCAGGUGGUCGGGCGCAUAGCCACGGCCCUGAGGGGACGAUUUCCCUUGCCCACUGGGGCCCCGAUGCCCAAGUUACCUUGGGAAAAAGAGCAACACCCUAGACAGUAUCUAGAAGCAUGUAAGGACACAUGGGCCAAACACACAGGGCACCACCCGGGGAAGGGAGGUCUGCAGCAGGAGUGGUUUAGAAGGGCGGUCUUAGAGGGACUUCCAGAGAAAAUAAAAGAGGCAAUGAUGGCAAAUCCUGACUUGCCAGGUAGUGAAUCACACGUAUGGGAAAGACACAUAGUACAUAAUUUACAGAGGGCAAAAGAUGAGGAGACAGAGAAAGACAAACAGAUACAGGGA
ensembl:lncRNA